rnacentral:rRNA from 1 species
GACGAACGCUGGCGGCGUGCUUAACACAUGCAAGUCGAACGGAAAGGCCCUGCUUUUGUGGGGUGCUCGAGUGGCGAACGGGUGAGUAACACGUGAGUAACCUGCCCUUGACUUUGGAUAACUUCAGGAAAACGGGGGCAAUAACCGAAAGGAACUCCCUCUGCAUGGGGGGGGGUGGGAAGGUUUCGGGGGUUGGGGAUGGACUCCGGGCUUUUCAGCUGGUGGGUGGGGUAGUGGCUUACCAAGGCUUUGACGGGUAGCCGGCCUGAGAGGGUGACCGGCCACAUUGGGACUGAGAUACGGCCCAGACUCCUACGGGAGGCAGCAGUGGGGAAUAUUGCACAAUGGGCGGAAGCCUGAUGCAGCAACGCCGCGUGCGGGAUGACGGCCUUCGGGUUGUAAACCGCUUUCGCCUGUGACGAAGCGUGAGUGACGGUAAUGGGUAAAGAAGCACCGGCUAACUACGUG